GAUCAUGGCUCAGGAUGAACGCUGGCGGCGUGCUUAACACAUGCAAGUCGAACGGGAAAUACUUUAUUGAAACUUCGGUCGAUUUAAUCUAUUUCUAGUGGCGGACGGGUGAGUAACGCGCGGGUAACCUGCCUUAUACUGGGGGAUAACAGCCAGAAAUGACUGCUAAUACCGCAUAAGCGCACGGGGCCGCAUGGUCCUGUGUGAAAAACUCCGGUGGUAUAAGAUGGACCCGCGUUGGAUUAGCUAGUUGG
rnacentral:rRNA from 1 species